GAUGAAGAACGCAGCGAAAUGCGAUAAGUAAUGUGAAUUGCAGAAUUCAGUGAAUCAUCGAAUCUUUGAACGCACAUUGCGCCCGCCAGUAUUCUGGCGGGCAUGCCUGUUCGAGCGUCAUUUCAACCAUCAAGCCCUGCUUGCGUUGGGGUCCUGCGGCUGCCCGCAGGCCCUGAAAACCAGUGGCGGGCUCGCUAGUCACACCGGGCGUAGUAGAUUUUAUCUCGCUCAGGGCGUGCUGCGGGUCCCGGCCGUUAAAAGCCUUUUUUUACCCAAGGUUGACCUCGGAUCAGGUAGGAAGACCCGCUGAACUUAAGCAUAUCAAUAAGCGGAGGA
rnacentral:misc_RNA from 1 species